GAGCUGCAAGUGUUAGUAGUCUAUGAACUAGAGGAGGAUGACGUUACAGGUGAGGUGCGCAUAUUUGCGAGCUGAGCUCUGACGUCACUGAGGUUGAAGGCAAGGUGAUUUUCGGGAGGACAAAGCCCAUGGGUCAACCAAUGGAAUUGUCAAUUAAUUCCGUGGUUGGGCUCACUGCCCUCGGUACCAUGAAGCUGGUCUGGUGGAUUGGCACAAAAGAGGUGGUGGUGUUGGCUGAUAGUGGAGCCUCCCACAACUUUAUAUUUGCCGAGUUGGUCUGUUACUGGAAUUGGAAAAUAUUGCCAAUAAUACCAAUUGUUCUCCGCCUCAGUCACUGACAAUGAUCGUAGAAGUUUUGGAAGAAUUCUCAGCAGUCUUUGAAGAGCCCACCCAACUACCCCCAAAAAGGAGUCACGAUCAUGCAAUUGUUAUGAAGCCUGGGACUAAUCCAAUCAGCGUGAGACCAUAUAGUAUCCACACUUCCAAAAGAAUGAAAUCGAAUUGUUAGUACAAGAGAUGUUGGCUGCGGGAAUUAUCCAGCAUAGCACAAGUCCUUUUUCCAGCUCGGUACUUCUGGUAAGGAAGAAAGAUGGAAGUUGUCGAUUUUGUGUAGGUUAUCGGGCUCUCAACAAGGCAACCAUUCCGCAUAAAUUUUCGAUUCCCGUUAUCAACGAAUUACUAGAUGAACCAAAUGGAGCGACUGUAUUUUCAAAAAUCGACCUCAAAUCAGGGUACCAUCAGAUUAGGGUGAAGGCUGAGGAUAUUCCUAAAACUGCAUUUCGAACACACAAGGGCAUUAUGAGUUUCUCUUCAUGCCAUUUGGGUUAACUAAUGUACCUACCACUUUUCAGUCUCUAAUGAAUACCGUCUUUAGAAAUCAACUCAGGAAAUAUGUCUUAGUCUUCUUUGACAACAUAUUGGUUUAUAGUCGUACAUAAUAUAUUUUCGCUGUGAGACACCAAUACCCUUCUUUGAUCUAGCUACUUCAUUCCCAGAAAGUAUCGUAUCUGUCUCAAGUUUUUUACUUCAAGUUAUGUGGCUAGACUGAUUUUUAGCCUCUCGAUCUCAACUGUAUUUAUCUCCGGUAAGGAUUAUGUCAUCAGCAUAUACGAUCAGAAUGGUCUUUGUCCCAUCUUCAAAUAUUCUGAAAAACAUAGUAUGAUUUGAUUGUCCCUGUUGGUAUCCUUGAUUUUUUAACACCUUUGCAAAUUCAUCAAACCAUGCCUUAGUUGAUUGUUUAAGACCGUACAUAGAUUUUUUUAGUUUGAUUACUUUGUUUUCUUCACCUCUUGAUCGGUAUUAAUGGCACGCCACAAGUGCACGGGUCGCGAUCAAGUAGUAUAAUGGACCUUUCAAGUCCCAGUCGAUCCCUUAGAGAGUGUUGUUUUCAAUUAUGAGUGUAUUUGUUUCAAAUUAACGAAAAAGAUACACACAUUUAAAAGUUCGAUUUUAAAAACUAUAAAAAGGCGAAAACUCGAUUUUGAUUUAAAAUACUUAAAUAAUACUUAAAAAGUGGAAAAGUUUGAUUUUAAAAGAUGUUGGAAUUUAUGAUUUCACUCAACCCUUUUCAAGCCAAUUAUGCGUAGAUGUAAAUUACCAAACUAUGUGGUUAGACCCGAUUUUCCAAAAUUAGUCAAUAACCUCUGUCGAGCGAUAUCAACCCUAAUUGCUUGGCAUUAACAUAUUUCUAUGUCGUUCUAAACCAAACAACUGUAUUCAAUUUUUGUGAAAAUAACUCAACGGGUCACAUAGGGUAGGUAUACAUGUCUGGAUACCUAAACGCGUAUAGUCGAAACCAUACAAACCUAUAGAAUUAAUUAUUUCGGUCCAUUAUGUACAACUAUUUUUCAAUAAUUACGCAACUACCUAACCACAACAUCUAUUGACGUCAAAUAAAUGUAGUAAUCUUAAACAUGAUAAUUAAUACACCAAUAUUUUGAUAACAAAUGCAUAUCUAACAACAUAUAACAUGAUAUUAAUGAAAAUAGGUUAAGUUAAUGCAUAAAUACCAACAUAAACUUGUUUAGUUCAUCAUUCUAACAAAAUAACAAAGAGAUUCUCAUAAACAUAUCAUUACAAGCAUGAAGAACUAAAUGAAAGGAAUACAAAAGUUGAGAUAAAACCAUUUUAAAUAUGAAUUGUAAUUCUUUCAAUGUAUUCUUCAAGCUUUCCUUAAUGAUCUCCUUGCUAUAUCUACAUGAUUCCCAAAAUAAAACUAAAAGAAGAAAAAUCAAGAAAAAGAGAGAGAGACCAAGAGAGAUAGAGAGAAAAGUGAAAGAGUUGGGGAAUUUUUUUUACCUACCAAGUUAUAUUAGUAUAUAUAUGGAAUAUGUAUAAAAUAUAAUAUAAAAAAAGAUAUUAUUAGAUACAUAAAUAUCCUAAAAAUAUCUAGCAUAAAAUAAGGAUAAAAUAUAAUAUAUAUAAAAAAGAUAUUAUUAGACACAACAUAAUUAUCCUAAAAAUAUCUAGAAUAAAAUAAGGAUAAAAUAAUAAAAACGUUGACCAAAAAAUCUCGAAAUUGCAGAUCAGGUCCUUCAACUUUCAUUUAGUGCAAUUUGGUCCUCAAAUUUGACUUUUAUUACAUUUAGGCCCUUCCAUAAUUGCACUUCAAGUCCUUUUCAUUCUCUUUUCGCUCGUUAUACUUCUUUCCGGGGUUUUAGCCUACAAAAGUAACAAUUACACAAUUAUAAAUAGAAAUCGACUCAAUUUUAUCAAUAAUAAAGUCCCAAAAAUUGCUAAAUAAGUUUGUAAAAACACACUUAUCACACCCCCAAAUUUGAGCUCUUGCUCGUCUCGAGCAAGAUUGACUUCUAACAUAAUCAUGCAAAUACAAAAAUGAUCAACAUAUUAGAUACCUUGCCAUAAAUAUCAUAGAGUUCAAAAUUGUAUAUCAAUUCAUAGCCAUACUUUCAAAUAAUGCUAUAAAAAAUAAUUAUAACUUAUCCCAUGUUCAAUCAGUGUGUGUGUACAUACCCAUUUUCCAUCAUCAUCUAAACUAAGAAAAUACUAUCAAGAGAGUAAAAUUUCUAAAUUAGCACCAACCCGACCCUCAGUGGUCAAAUAUAUUCUUUCCCGCUCGUAAGAUUCACACUCAAAUACAGAUAUUCCACUUCAUUUCCCAAGUGUAAAUCUAAAGGUUGCUCUCAAACACUCUUUUCUUUAUCGAUCAAAAAUACUCAACUAGUAUGCAUUAUCAGAUGAAGAUAAAGUAACUGAACAUGUAGAACCUCGCAAGAUAGUAUAAUCACUCACUCUCAAGUGUAUAAGAUUGGGUACUGUUUCGCUCAGAUCAUUCCAAUGAAAAUGUUCUACCAUAAGCUUGCAUAUUUUCUCAAUCGUCACCACUUAGAUCACAUGCAUUACAUAAAUCAUAAGGUCUUUUUAGGGUUGAAAUGUGGCUUAAGGUUAAGGUGUUGAAACAUUUGGAUAAGUGACUACAAAGCCUCAAAUAAAUCAGUGGAGUAAAAGAUAUUCAACUUAGCUCAGCAUAGACAUGAUCUGUACACAACCCUAUCCCUCCAAUCAAUAACUUCUUACUCAUCAUCAAUUCAGCACAAUCACCCUUUUUCUUCUUUCAACUCUCAGGAGAACUUAUAAAUUUAGUCACUCAAAAUCAGUCUCCUCCACAUAUUUUCCCUUGUCAAACAAUUUUUUUUUUUUUACACCAACAUAGCACCUCAAAUGAUAUUGAUACCCCCAAACUUCUUUUCUUCCACACCCAACAUUCAAUAAAACCAAAUACACUCCACUAGCUUUGAGGGCUAGAUAAAGAUAUUGUUUUCUGGAAAUGAAAGCUUGUAAUGUGGGUAAACCAAAGAAAAGGCAAAUAGGCUCAAAGGGGUUAUCAAAGGAAAGAGUAAUUUCAUGGUAAGCUAUUUGGCUAAAGUGGUAACAAAAAUUGCCUUAAUCAUAUUCAUGUAUACAUGUAUCAAUGUGAUCUAGAAAAGAAGCAACGCAAGUUCUAGAGAAUCAUAAUCAUGGAAUAAUGUCACACCAGAAAGAAAUGAUGAGACUGUAAUAAAUGUCAGUCUAUCGGCUCAAAGUCUCACCAGCUUUUGUGUUCACCCUAUUCAGUUACUACAUCUUCAAUGAAAAUAACAAACUAGCUAAUUCAACAUUUCUCACAGUACAAGGUAAAGUGAAAGAGAAUAAGACAUAAGUUGAUAUACUGUUUCAGGUAACUGACAACCUAAGUUCUUACCAAUUCAAAAAUUUUCCAACAAACAGCUAUUUCCACAUCUAAAUGAUAAUUAAUCAUGACUAUGUUCAAUGUAACUCAAGAUCUCACAUAGAAAAAGCAAUUUUUGAAUCGAAAAUUUUUACACAUAAUAGCAUAUUUGGCACGCAUGCAUAGCUUAUGAAUCAAGAACAAUUUCAACAUCACGCAUUUCAAAGCUGGCAAAGCUCACCAAACAUGUCGAUAUAACACACAAAAAAUAUGUACAAACACAAAAAGAAAGCCGGCAAGGCUCAUCACCCCCAAACUUAAUUCACACAUUGUCCUCAAUGUGUAAAUAACAAGCUAAAGUAAAGUGGAAUAAGGAAACUUCCCUGAAUAGCCAUUCGUAAAGUGGAACCAAUGCAUUUGCUGGACUUAUGAUGAACGCGAGUCACUUGGAUCAAAGACUUCUUUGCACAUGAAUUGUUCCAGAACCUGGGAGAUCCAGAAAUGGCUGGGAUAUCAAAAAUUUCUUACAAAAUAAAUAUAUUAGUUCAACAAUAUAAUAACCAAAAGCAUUAAAAGUAAAUAAAUAAAACAAGAGUUAAAACAGUUGGGCUGCCUCCCAACAAGCGCUUGGUUAUAGUCCUUAGCUCGACUAUAGGGCAUCUUUAUUUCGGAUCUUUGAAAGGAAUGGAAGAUUUUUCAUUAGCAAAAUCACCUCCCAGAUAUGGUUUCAAUCUGUGAUCAUUUACUUUGAAAUUCGCCUUUCUUUCAUCAAGAAGCUCAACCGCUCCAUGUGGAAAAUUUUUUAUGAUGGUGAAAGGACCCGACCAUCUGGAGCGGAGUUUUCCAGGGAAUAACUGGAGUCGAGAAUUGUACAGAAGAACUUGUUGCCCGACAAAAAACUCCCGCCUCACAAUGUGCUGAUCAUGCCAUCUCUUUGUCUUUUCUUUAUAGAGACGUACACUCUCAUAUGUAUCAAGGCGGAUUUCGUCAAGUUCAUUCAGUUGGAGCAAUCUCUUCUCAUCGCCCAAUUUUUCAUCAAAAUUCAAGGCUUUGAUAGCCUAAUAGGCCCGAUGUUCGAGUUCGACUGGUUAAUGACAUGCUUUUCCAAAUAGAAGCCGAUAUGGAGACAUACCAAUCGGUGUUUUAAAAGCAGUCUGAUAUGCCCACAAUGCAUCGUCCAACUUCUUGGACCAAUCUUUUCUUGAUGCAUUGACCGUCAACUCGAGAAUUCUCUUUAACUCUCGAUUAGAUAUUUCAACUUGGCCACUUUUUUGGGGAUGAUAGGGAGUGGCCACUCGAUGAUUCACUCCAUAUUUGGUCAAAAGUGAGUCGAAGAGGCGAUUACAGAAAUGUUUAGCACCAUCACUAAUGAUAGCUCGGGGAGUGCCAUAGCCCGAGAAAAUAUUUUUCUUCAAAAAAUUUACUACCACCUGAGCAUCAUUAGUAGGUAAAGCUACCGCUUUACCCACUUUGACACGUAGUCUACAACCACCAAUAUGUAUUUAUUUGAAAAUGAGGACGGAAAUGGCCUCAUAAAAUCAAUACCCCAAACAUCAAAUAUCUCCACCUCCAAUAAGGAAUUCAAUGGGAUUUCAUUACGUUUGGAAAUUUUACCAGUUCGUUGGCAUCGAUCACACUUAGAGACAAGUGUAUAAGCAUCCUUAAAUAAGGUGGGCCAAUAAAAACCAGAUUGAAGGACCUUUGAUGUAGUUUUUACAGCACCAAAGUGACCACCAUAUUGAGAAGAAUGACAUCGUUCAAGUAUUUUCUCCAUUUCCUCUUCCGGCACACGUCUCCGGAUAAUUUGAUCCGGACCCCGUUUGAAUAACAAAGGAUCUUCCCAGAAGUAAUGCUUCACAUCAGCAAAGAACCUCUUCCUUUGUUGAUAAGAAAGAUCUGGGGGUAUGAUGCCACUAACAAGAUAGUUCACAUGGUCUGCAUACCACGGUGUAUGAUUGGCUUUAAAAUCUGGAUGAUUUGCAACAGCUGUUCAUCAGGAAACACCUCAUUGAUUUCACCUUCCAAAACGUCUUCGGGUUGCUCGAGACGAGAUAAAUGAUCAGCAACGACAUUUUCAAUUCCCUUUUUAUCUCGAAUCUCGAGGUCGAAUUCCUGCAAGAGGAGUACCCAUCUGAUCAACCUCGGCUUGGCAUCUUUCUUUGCGAACAAAUAUUUGAUGGCCGAGUGGUCAGUGUAGACAAUUACUUUGGAACCAAUGAGGUAUGACCGAAAUUUAUUAAAUGCAAAUACUACUGCUAGCAUCUCCUUUUCAGUAGUAGCAUAAUUCAAUUGCGCAUCGGUCAAAGUUUGACUGGCGUAAUAGAUAACAUGCAGGACUUUAUCUCUCCGCUGUCCCAGAACAGCUCCAACAGCAUAAUCACUAGCAUCGUACAUCAGCUCGAAUGGAAGAUUCCAAUCUGGAGUUGUGAUAAUAGGAGCCAUGAUGAGCUUUUCCUUUAGUGCAUUGAAAGCAUUAAGACAUUCUUGGGAGAAAUUAAAGGCUGUGUUCUUUUCAAGCAAGGAACAAAGAGGUUUUGUAAUUUUUGAAAAGUCUUUAAUGAACCUCCUGUAAAAGCCUGCAUGUCCGAGAAAACUUUGAAUUCCCUUAAUUGUAGUUGGUAGAGGCAAUUUUUCAAUUACUUGAAUUUUCGCCUUAUCAACCUCUAUGCCUUUCAGAGAAAUUCGAUGGCCAAGAACUAUGCCUUCUUUGACCAUGAAAUGACACUUUUCCCAAUUUAGAACCAAAUUGGUCUCUUUACAUCGUCUAAGUACCAUCUCUAAAUUGUUAAGGCAUCUAUUAAAUGAGGCACCGAAAACUGAAAAAUCAUCCAUAAAAAUCUCAAUACUUUUCUCCACCAUGUCGGAGAAAAUCGCCAUCAUACACCUUUGGAACGUAGCAGGUGCAUUGCACAGGCCAAAGGGUAUUCUCCUGUACGCAAAAGUACCGUACGGGCAUGUAAAUGUUGUUUUCUCUUGAUCUUUCAAAGCUAUUGAAAUUUGAUUAUAGCCCGAAUACCCAUUAAGAAAACAAUAAUGUGAAUACCCUGCCAACCGCUCUAGCAUUUGAUCUAUGAAACCAAGAGGGAAGUGAUCCUUUCUAGUUGCAGUAUUUAACUUACGGUGGUCAAUAUACACUCACCAACCAGUCACCAGUCUAGUGGGUAUGAGUUCGUUGUCCUCAUUUUUCACUACCGUUAUGCCUCCUUUCUUAGGUACAACUUGAACAUGACUUAUCCAUGGACUAUCAAAAAUGGGAUAGAUAAUGCCUGCAUCAAGUAAUUUAACAACUUCCGCUCUCACCACUUCCUUCAUAUUCGGAUUUAACCGCCUUUGAUGCUCGACUGAUGGCUUAAAGUCAUUCUCCAUCAGUAUUUUGUGCAUACAAAAUGACAGACUGAUUCCUCGAAUAUCAUUUAUCAUCCAUCCAAUUGCUUCCUUAUGUUCUCGCAAGACUCAAAGUAGCUUCUCUACUUCUAGAUCGGUUAAGGAAUUGGAGAUGAUCACUAGAAGUGUGGAUGAUUCUCCUAAAUAGGCGUACCUCAAAUGAGGCGGAAGUGUUUUCAAAUCAAGCGUAGGGGCUUUUUGAUAAGAUGAAAGAGGUAUUGAAGAUGUCUUUUCCAACUCCUCAUAAUAUGGUACCCUCUUGAAGGUGCGGAAUGGUGUAACUUCCAAGUAAUUUGUUAUACCUUCAACAUCGGGGUCACCAUCACUUAUAUCAGAAGAACUUACUAGGCAUCUCUCAAGGGUGUCGUCAGAACUCCCAUAAAGAGAGUCGGCAACCAAAUGAUUAAUCAUAUCCACCCGAAAACAGUCAUCUGGUUCUGGCGGGUACUUUGUGGAUUUCAAGAUGUUAAAAGUGACUUGCUCAUCUUGUAUCCUUAAAAUGAGUUUAUCCUCUUGCACGUCAAUCAAGGCUCAGCCGGUGGCAAGAAAUGGUCGUCCCAGAAUGAUAGGGAUAUCAUUAUCUGCUUCCAUGUCAAGUAUAAUGAAAUCAGUAGGGAAGAUGAACUUAUCCACUCUUACCAAGACAUCCUCAACCACACCUCGAGGAUAUUUAAUUGACCGAUCGGCCAAUUGCAAUGAUACUGUAGUAGCCUUUGCUUCUCCCAUUCCCAACUUUUCAAAAAUAGACAAGGGCAUUAAGUUAAUGCUCGCUCCGAGAUCACACAAAGCUUUAGUAAAAUUAAGAUCCCCAAUAGCACAUAGAAUAGUAAAGCUCCUUGGAUCUUUGAUUUUAGGAGGCAAUUUGUUCUGGAGAAUGGCGCUACACUCUUCCGUCAACAUCACCGUUUCAUGCUCUUCAAGUUUCCUUUUGUUAGAAAGGAUAUCUUUCAUGAACUUCGCAUAACUCGGCAUUUGAGCCAGAGCAUCUGCAAACAGAAUGUUAAUGUGUAGCUUUUUAAACACCUCCAAAAACUUACCAAAUUGAAUAUCCAGUUUAUGCUUCUGGAGCCUUUGAGGGAAAGGAAUAGGAGGUAUAUAGGCUUUGACUAGAAUUGGAGUCUUUGAUGUUAAUGGCUCCUAUUCAUCAGUCUUAUCUUCUUCAACAACCUCUUUAGGUGCUUGCACCACCUCAUUUUCAACGACUAGUUCUUUGUCAGCUCGAGCCUUUGUUGUACUACCGUGGGUUCAGGUAAUUGAAUCCCACUCCUGGUAAUAAUGGCCUUUGCAUUCUCUCUGGGAUUUGUUUCAGUGUCACUGGGUAAAGCCCCUUGAGGCCUCUCAGAGAGAAGUUUUGCAAUCAGGCCCACCUGCCUUUCCAAAUUUUUCAACGAUGCAUCAUUGCGUUCUUGGUAUUGCAAUUGAUGAUUUGCUAACUUAGCAAUGGCCUCUUCCCAACCUUCUUUCUUCUCUUGUGGUUUAGGAUUUAAGACAUUCUGGUUAUUACCAUAAGAGAAGUUAGGGUAGUUACGCCAUCCAGGGUUAUAAGUUUGAGUGUAAGGAUUGUACCCCAGGGCGUUGAAAAUUUUGUGUAUAUGCCAAUUGCUCGGUGGAUCCCAAACUACUGGCAAUCAACGGACAACCUGAACUCAAAUGAUUAGCUCCGCACAUUUCACAGAUCGAUAAGGAUUGGACCAUAUGAGCUGAAUGAGAGCCACAUGACGAAGUAGAAAGUCCUUCUACUUUUCGUGCUAGAAAGUCAAUCUUUGAUAACAUAAGAGAGAAUGCUUCACUCUCUCGAGCUCCACUAACUCCCACUUUAGCACGUCUAUCUGGCCACAUGGCACUCUGUUCACUCAUUACCUCAAAUAGCUCAUACGCCUCUCGGAUACUUUUGUUUUGGAUAGAUCCGUUUGACAAUGAGUCAACAUUUGAGCGGUGAGAAGGAGUUAACCCGGCGUAGAAGUACUGGACUUGUUGUGGUAAAGUAAUCCCAUUGUUUGGGCACUUUCUUAGCAUGUCCUUGAACCUCUCCCAAGCCUCGUGAAAGGUUUCAGAGUCAAGUUGUUGGAAAGUGGUUAUAUCGUGCUUUAACUUGGCCACACGAGCAGGUGGGAAAAAUUUAGUAGUGAAUUUUUGCACCGACUCCACCCAACUCGUGAUACUCCUCGCAGGUAGAGUGUCAAUCCACUCUCUUGCCUUAUCUUUCAACGAAUAACCUCAUUCUUAUAACCUCAUCAUUCACACCUUCUUAUGUGAAAUUGCUAACAAUUUCCAUGAAUCCCGCGAUGUGAGCGUGUGGGUUUUCAUCUAUUCUACCAUAGAAUGAUAAAGAAUUGGAGAAUAGAUUAAUGACAUCCGGUCGUAGUUGAAAGUUAGGAUGUCCAUAUGAUGGGUAAAUGAUACCCGCUUGGUUCUCAACGAUAGGGCGGUUCAGAAAAUCCCUAAACAACAUAUCUUCCUCAUUUACUACAGGAUUUUGAACCCUGCCCGCUUGAUUAUCAAAACCAGGCGGCACACCGUCCCGAGGAGCUUGUUCAUGUUGAAUAAGAGGGUCCAGAUGACCUUCUUGAUGCUCCAUGUCUCGUUGUUGUCUUUUCAACUCGUUUUGUUCUCUAAGCCUCUUUCGGAAAGUCCCUUCGAUUUCAGGAUCAAAUUCUAGAAGAUUGAGACUUCGGGAACGAUGCAUAAACAAUGAACGAGUUAGGAAUUUGAUAAAAACGAAGACAAAGUAACUUUUGGAUUUAAAAGGGGGAAUUUAAAACAAAAAGUAAAGUUCGUUAAAGUGAUUGACAAAUUAGCUGGUAAUUUGAUAAAAACAUUCCCGGCAACGGCGCCAAAAACUUGAUUGGUAUUAAAUGGCACGCCGCAAGUGCAUGGGUCGCGAUCAAGUAGUAUAAUGGACCUUUCAAGUCCCAGUCGAUCUCUCAGAGAGUGUUAUUUUCAAUUACGAGUGUAUUUGUUUCAAAUUAAUGAAAAAGAUGCACACAUUUAAAAGUUCGAUUUUAAAAACUAUAAAAAGGCGAAAACUCAAUUUUAAUUUAAAAUACUUAAAUAAUACUUAAAAAGUGGAAAAGUUUGAUUUUAAAAGAUGUUGGAAUUUAUGAUUUCGCUUAACCCUUUUCAAGCCAAUUAUGAGUAGAUGUAAAUUACCAAAUUAUGUGGUUAGACCCGAUUUUCCAAAAUUAGUCAAUAACCUCUGUCGAGCGAUAUCAACCCUAAUUGCUUGACAUUAACAUAUUUCUAUGUCGUUCUAAACCAAACAACUGCAUUCAAUUUUUGUGAAAAUAACUCAACGGGUCACAUAGGGUAGGUAUACAUGUCUGGAUACCUAAACGCGUAUAGUCGAAACCAUACAAACCUAUGGCAUUAAUUAUUUCGGUCCAUUAUGUGCAACUAUUUUUCAAUAAUUAGGCAACUACCUAACCACAACAUCUAUUGACGUCAAUAACUGUAGUAAUCUUAAACAUGAUAAUUAAUACACCAAUAUUUUGAUAACAAAUGCAUAUCUAACAACAUAUAACACGAUAUUAAUGAAAAUAGGUUAAGCUAAUACAUGAAUUCCAACAUAAACUUGUUUAGUUCAUCAUUCUAACAAAAUAACAAAGAGAUUCUCAUAAACAUAUCAUUACAAAUAUGAAGAACUAAAUGAAAGGAAUACAAAAGUUGAGAUAAAACCCUUUUAAAUACGAAUUGUAAUUCCUUCAAUGUAUUCUUCAAGCUUUCCUUAAUGAUCUCAUUGCUAUAUCCACUUGAUUCCCAAAAUAAAACUAAAAUUAACAAAAGAAAAUAAAACUAAAAGAAGAAAAAUUAAGAAAAAGAGAGAGAGAGACCAAGAGAGAUAGAGAGAAAAGUGAAAGAGUUGGGGAAUUUUUUUUACCUACCAAGUUAUAUUAGUAUAUAUGUGGAAUAUGUAUAAAAUAUAAUAUAUAAAAAAAAAGAUAUUAUUAGAUACAUAAAUAUCUUAAAAAUGUCUAGCAUAAAAUAAGGAUAAAAUAUAAUAGAUAUAAAAAAGAUAUUAUUAGACACAACAUAAAUAUCCUAAAAAUAUCUAGAAUAAAAUAAGGAUAAAAUAAUAAAAAUGUUGACCAAAAAAUCUCGAAAUUGCAGAUCAAGUCCUUCAACUUUCAUUUAGUGCAAUUUGGUCCUCAAAAUCUGACUUUUAUUACAUUUAGGCCCUUCCAUAAUUGCACUUCAAGUCCUUUUCCUUCUCUUUUCGCUCGUUAUACUUCUUUCCGGGGUUUUAGCCUACAAAAGUAACAAUUACACAAUUAUAAAUAGAAAUAUACUCAAUUUUAUCAAUAAUAAAGUCUCAAAAAGUGCUAAAUAAGUGUGUAAAAACACACUAAUCACCUCUCUUAGAGAAUCCUAGUGGUAACAUCAUGUAGACUUCUUCAUCCAACUGCCCAUUCAAGAAUGUGUUCUUAAUAUCAAGUUGUUGGAGUGGCCAGUCCAAGUUUGCCUCUAGUGAUAGAUCUUGGAUUGUAUUCAGUUUAGCUACCGGUGCAAAAGUUUCUGUGUAAUCUAUACCAUAAGUUUGAGUGUAUUCCUUUGCGACCAAAUGAGCUUUGUACCUUUCUAUUGUCCUGUCCACUUUAUAUUUUACAUUGAAUACCCAUUUGUACCCAACAGGUCUCUUUCCCUUCGAUAGUUCCAUCACGUCCUAAGUUUCAUUCGUUUUCAAGGCUUUCAUUUCUUCUAUUACUGCCUUCUUCCACCUAGGAGUUUCCAAAACUUUUUGAAUACGUCUUGGAAUUUUUGUAUUAUCAAGGUUAGCGACAAAAGAUCGAAAAGCUGGAGACAGGGCUUUGUAAGCAACAAAUUUUGAAAUAGUAUGGAGGGUACAUGACCGUGUUCGUUUCCUGAGAGCAAUAGAUAGGUCAGUGUCGGGUGAUUUAGGAAGCUCAUGAAGAUCUGCAGCUAUUAUAAUAUCCCGAAAUUUUAUAGAAUAUAAUUUAAUUUUAUUUAUGCUAUAUUUUUAAUGUUUUGAAAGUUUAGGGACUAAAGUGUAUAUAAAGUAAACUUUAAUAAUAUUUAGAUUAAAAUAUAAAUAUUGACGGGACGAUGAUAAGUAUACGGGUAUUGGGCUCGUUGGAGAGAUAAUAAUUAAAGACGCAUUUUAGACUCAAUAAAAAAUUAAUUUGGGUUAGUCGAGCCCAAGUUAUCGAAGCCGGAAGAUAUAACAUUAAAAUAUUAUUUUUAUUACUUUUGUUUGGAAGAAUUUAUGUGGAGAGAGAGAUGAAAGUUGUUGAGAUAUUUUAUUGUUUUAUUAUUAAUAAUAAUAUUUUAUUAAGUGUGUUUUGCAUUGGGAGGUCUCACGUGAAGUACUAGGAUUCUAAGUAGGUGGUAGGUAAGUGAUAAUUGAUUUGCUUAUUAAAUGAAAUAAAGUAGAGAGAGAGAGAGAGAGAGAGAGAGAGAGAGAGAGAUAAUUAUGGGAAUCCACGUUCCUAAUGGUUAAAACAAAUUCCCUUGUAUAUAUAUGGUGCACUGCCACGUGUAAGAUAUAAAUUAUUUUUUUAAAUUGUGGGCAUUUGGCAAGAUUUGGGUCAAGAUUCUGUUUCAACUAUUUUGAUCCAUAUCUCUUUCCCCACUCCCACACGUUUCCUCAUUUUUUUUAUAUAGAUAUUUUUAUUAUAUCAUAUAAAAACAAUAGCUUUCAUUCACUUCACUGUAAUAUUAUUGCACGAUAAGGCAGAAAGAAAAGAAAAGAUAGUUGCAACGUGAUUUUGGGUUUUCUUAUUCCAAGAAAUUGUUGGAGCGUGAACCUUGUUUUGACUUCCAAAAUUUAAGCAGUUUAACAAGGUAGGAUAUGAGGUGCAGUAUUUUUUUUUUAAUUUUCCGUUUAAUUAUUUUGGCUACAUGUGGACGAAUUUCAUAUUUAUGAAAGUUAUGAUAUUAAUGCUAUGAUAUGAAUGAUAUGGCCAUUCCGGUACAAUGAAAUGAAAUGAUAUGAUAUGAUGUGAGUUCUUACCGAAUUUAAAGUUAUGCGACGGUAUGGUAUUCUGACACUUGUGUUAAAAUUAUUUUUCGGGAUCGCACCAUUAAUGUAAUAUCCUACUGAGUAUUCCCAUGUACUCACCCUUUUCCUACACCUCACAGGUUAGAUCGGGUCCUGUUGGAGCGUGGUGGUUCGAUGCGUGGUUGUGCCUCAUUUGCUGGACGAGAAUUUAUAAUUUUAACAAGUAAUUUUAGUUCAUUGCCAUAGACAUCCUAUUUUAAAGAUUAAGUUAUCAAUUAUGUUUAUUUGCUACAUGGAUGUUUUUUUUUUGUUUAAUUCAUUUUAAAUAGAGCUCGAACUAUAUUUUACUGUUUUUAUCGACUUUAAUGGUUAAAAGAAAAUUGAUUAAUUGUCAAGUUCACAUCAAAGACUUUUGCAUUUUUCUAAGGCAUCUACAGCCUUUUCAAGAUUUAUAAUAUGCAUGGUCAAAACAAUGAUUCUGUACUUCACACCAAAUUUUCAAUUGUCUGCCUACCACAGUUAACUUUAUGCAGUGGAGUUGUAUUAUUCAUUUGUACUUUGAAUUGGAUUUUAUGAUAAAAAUAUUCAUAACCCAUAUUCACUAAUCAUGCUAGUAUAAAAGAUGUUAAAUACGGUCAAAUGUCAUUUCAUUUUAAGAUGAUAAUUUAAAAUUUAUUAAUCAUGUGGUUUCCAAUAAUUUGAUCCUUUUAUAAUAAAGUUGGUAGCGACUAAAAAUAAUAAUAAUAAUAAUAAAAUAAAAUAAAAUAAAAAUUUGGGUCAUUACAGCUAUCACUGGUUCCGACUCUUUUAGUGCUUCGAGUGUGAGGUCAUUCUUUAAUUUUGGCCUUCUUGAGUAAACUAUUGUCUCUUUGCCAUGCUGUUCUUUCUGCUCUCCCCCUGAGUUUAAGUCUCCUUCUGUCAAUGACAUGUCGAGGCAAAGUGGUGUUGUAUGUUCAGUGAUGGAUUCAGAGGAAUUAACAGAGAUUUUCAAGAACCGAUCUUUACCUAUGUUCUCUCCUUGAAGAGAGGUUUUUGGAAAAUAUGAAAGAGUUUCAAAGAAAGUGACAUCAAGACUCACGAAUACUUUUUUGGUGAUAGGAUCAUAGCACUUAUACCCCUUUUGUGUAGGUGAGUACCCAAUAAAAACACACUUAACUGCACGAGGUUCGAGUUUAUUUCGAUGAUGAGGAUGUAUAUGUACAAAGGUUGUACAUCCUAACACUUUUAAGGGUAAGUUGGAGCUCAUGCGAGAGUUAGGGAAGAAUGUUUGGAGCUUUUGGAGAGGAGUUUCAAAGUUGAGGGUGAGGCUAAGCAUUCUGUUUAUGAGGUAUGCUGAUGUUAGAAUUGCAUCACCCUACAAAGUAUUGUUCACAUUUGUGGUGAACGUCAGUGCCCGAGCUACUUCGAGUAGGUGUCUAUUUUUUCAUUUAACGACUCCAUUUUGUUGUGGGGUGUUGACACAAGAACUUUGGUGGACUAUUCCAUUUUCUUGGAAAUAGGAUUUUAGGGUAUUAUUGAAAUUUUUGUGUCGUUAUCUAUCAGCAGAAUCUGAAUUUUUGUCUGCAGUUGAUUUUGAAUCAUUGCAUGAAAAUUUAUGAACACUGAACGGACCUCGAUUUUUUCUUUUAACAUAUAGACCCAACAGAUUCGAGUAUGUUCAUCGAUAAAUGUGACAAACCAUUUUGUGUGAGCGCGGUUGGGGGUUCAUGAGGGUCCCCAUAAGUCACUUUGAAUCAUACUAAAUGGUCGAGAUGGUUUGUACACAGAUUUUGGAAAUGAAGAACGAUGAUGUUUUUUGAGUUCACAACUUUCGCAAAAAAAGAUCAGAAGAUAUUUUAUUUGAGAACGGUGAAGGAAAUACAUGUCUUAAAUAUUGAAAACUGGGAUGCCCUAUUCUAUAAUGCCAUAAAAGUAGUUCACUAUCCUUGGGAAUAAAAGCAGAAUCACAACUAGCAAAUUGACGUCGUUUACUCACUUUAGCCUCGUCAAAGUAGUAGAAUCCCUCACACUCCUUAGCACUGCCAAUCGUCUUCCCCGAUGAUAGGUCCUGAAAAACACAGUGGUAAGAAAAAAAGUUAGUUGAACAGUUUGAAUUUUUUGUUAAUUGGCUAAUGGAUAAUAGAUUGCAUGAAAGAUUCAGAACAUGUAAGAUGUGUUUGAGGGUAAUUAAGUUAGAGAUUCGAAUACUCCCUUUUCCGGCUACUGAAGAUAGGGAGCAAUCUACAAUUUUAACUUUAAGAUUACUCCCACAAGGUAAGUAAGAGGAAAAGAGAUGGUGGGAGUCCGUCAUGUGAUCGGACGAACCAGAGUCAAUAAUCUACGGUACUUUUGAGAGAGAGGUGGUGUUUAGGGCUCUUAAGAAAUUACCUCUGUGGGCUAAGGAACUUGACGAAUUAGGUGAUUGAAAACUGGAAAACAUUUUGUAGAGCUGUUUUAGUUGCUCAGGGCUGAAUGCACCAUUUGGAGUGGAAUUCUGUGUUUCAGUGGGGUCAAUAGUUGCUUGAUAGCCGUGAUUUCUAGCAUUGUCUCGGUUUCCAAACAGAUGGUUUUCCGCACAAAUCCCAGCACGUGUCUUCUUUAUGUCCAGGUUUCCGACAGUGGUCGUACCACAGACGACCCUUUAGUUGUUUUUGGCCCGGUCCAAUUUUUUAUGUCCCUCUAGGCACUUGAAUUCCCAAAUCAGGCCCAAUAGAUUUCGACCUAUCAUAGGAGUAUCUUUUAGAUCUAGCAAUGCUCCAAUUUGGUCCAUAUCCACCUAACCCAUUAGAUCCACUCGAUUUAGGCACAGACGGCCUAAUAGAAUCCAAAACAAGGGCCGACCCUUCUACUGUCCCAGCCAACCCAUUCUUCAACAUGAUCUUCCGACAGCUUUCCCCGCGCUUGACUUCGGCUAAGACAUCUCGUGUGGAGGGCAGUGGUCGGCAGCUAAGUAUUUGUCCUCUCACGUCCUUCAACUCCCAAUUCAAUCCAGCCAAGAACUCGUAUAACCGUUCAUUCUCUAUCCUUUUUUUGUAUCGAACACGAUCUUCGGGGCAAUCCCACUAUUCGUCGGUGCUAAGAUCCAAUUCCUGCCGGAGAGUGGUCACUUCUAGGUAAUAUUUAGUGACAUUUCUUUCUCCUUGCUAUGCUUGCCACAAUUUUGUUUUAAUUUCAAAAAUCUGUGACGAGUCUUCUGCAUCAGAAUACAUAUCACGAACGGCGUCCUAUAUGUCCUUUGUGGUGGCCAUGAACAGAAAAAUCUUUCCUAUUGACAGCUUCAUUGAAUUAACAAGCGACGCCAUCACCAUGGAGUUUUCGGGUUUCCAUUUUUGUUAGAGGUUCGAAUUUGUUGGCAGUUUCACGUCUCCGAUAAGAUAACUUAUUUUUCCUUUAUUGUAGACUACCAAUUUGAUGGAUUGAGCCCAUUCCUUGUAACCAACUUAAAUAUAUACACAAUACCUGGUAGUAAAAAAGGAAAAUAAUAUUCUAUCUAAGGAAGAAAGAUAUUUCCUAACUUAAUUGAUAAUUAUACCAAAAAUAUAAGAUACAAUAAAUCCCAUAAUUGAUCCAGGAUUUCUACAAGUGGGCAUGAAGAAGGAUAUUCGCUCAUAUGUGGCUGCCUAUACAACCUAUCAGCAGCAUAAAUAUUCCACUCUUGCACCUGCAGGGUUACUGCAGCCUCUUCCGAUCCUAGAGAGGGUAUGGGAAGACAUCUCUAUGGAUUUCAUAGAAGGAUUGCCGAAGUCGAAAGGGUUUGAUUCGAUUUUGGUGGUCUUUGAUUGUUUAAGUAUGCCCAUUUUAUAUGUCUCAAGUAUCCUUUCACGACCCCUUCCAUUGCAGCCAUUUUUGUAAGAGAAGUAGUUCAAUUGCACGGGGUUCCCCAGUCAAUAGCUUCAGACAGAGAUAAAGUAUUUCUCAGCAAGUUUUGGAUUGAGCUAUUCCGACUCCAGGGAACCAAGUUAAAGUGUAGUUCAGCCUAUCAUCCACAAACCGAUGGAUAAACCGAGGUGCUCAAUCGAGGAGUGGAGACCUAACUGCGUUGCUUUGCUUCAGUACGACCAAAGGAAUGGGUGCGCUACCUACAUUGGGCUGAACUCUCUUACAAAACUUCCUUCCAUGUAUUUGCUCAGUUCACCCCUUUUCGGAUCGUAUAUGGGCGUGAUCCCCCUCUCCUAAUGAGUUUCGAAAAGGGAACUAGGGUAGUCUCUUCGUUGGAUCAACAACUGGCUGAAAGGGACAAGGUACUAGAGGAGGUCAAGGUCCAUUUGCAUCGAGCUCAACAACAGAUGAAAAAUGCAGCUGACAAACAUAGAAGGGCAAUAGAGUUUAAUGCAGGGGACAUAAUUUACUUAAAGAUGCAUCCUUAUCGUCGUAAACCCUAGGCACAUCGUAGCAAUGAAAAACUUGCCCCCCUCGGGAUACUGUGGACCCUUCAAGAUGUUGGCUAAAGUGGGGAAAGUUGCUAAUCAGUUGGACCUACCACCCGGGACACAAAUCCCUCCAGUAUUCCAUGUAUCACAAUUGCGAAAAGCAGUGGGACAACGUCAUUUAGCCACACAGUUACCUCUGAAUUUGGGAGCUGAUUGGGAGCUUCUAGUGGAACCUGAAGCGGUGCUGGGAAUCCAGAAUGAGACACGGGAGAUAUCAGAAAAUUUGAAAGUAUUGAUCAAGUGGAAAGGGUUACCUGCUAUGGGAGCUACUUUGGGAACCAUUUCAUCUCAUUAAUCAACAAUUUCCAUCCUUUCACCUUGACGACAAGGUAUCUGAAUUUUUUUGGGGGGGGGGGGGGGGGGGGUAAUUGAUAGACCCCGAAUCCAGUAUACCUAUUCUAGAAGAUUCAAGAAAUCGAGAGAAGGGAAGGAGCCAUAAUAAAUUCCGUUAGACGGGUAGAAUAGGAAAAAAAGAAGGCAGUUAAAAAAGAAUAUAAGUAGGGGGACGGGGGGAAGAGAAAGGCAAGAAAUCUGUUGAGUGUGGUAGGACUAAGGAGAGAUACAGCCCUCUAGAAAAGCUGCCUGUUAAUUCAUUUCCUUUUGUACUGCAGAAUCCAAUUAAUAUAGAACUAUAUUAUUCAUUAUCUUUUGUACUUCAGCUGAAACUUAUCAGUAUCCAAUCAGUUUUUAAAAGAACUAAUACAAAUGAGUUCAGCAAAUCAGUUUCAGUAAUGUUUCCAACUUGUACCGGUGAAAGAGAAAAUAGUAUCGACACAGGAGGAAAUAAAUUCCAGUGUGGAUUUAGCAAAUAUAGCAAUUCCACAUGGACUUGUAAUUCAAAAUGAAAAAAAGUACAGACAGAAAGCAUAUUGAAAUCACACAAUCACCUACAGGUGGCAUAAUAUCUUAUAAGCUAUGUAUCUAAAGUUAGAUAUAGCCAAUUUGUUCCUAGAGCACAUAAAGUGAUCAAGUCAUAAACAAGUAAUGCUGGAAUAUGAAGACACAUUAUUAUGGCCAAAUACAGCUUGAACAACAAACAGAACCCAAAUUCUACGCCUUUAUUUGCAUGAAUUCUCAGCAGCCACUAUUGAUCCUUGUAGUACACUAUUACCUGUUUAAUGAUUUGUUUUUUUAUCAAAACAUGAACACAAGUAUAAGUAAACUGCAGCAGUGAGAACAUUUGAUCAGUUAGGCUUGAAUUAUUUUUCUUUGAUAGGUAAUCAUAAUUUUAUUAAUUAAAAGAGAUAACACAGGAUGUAAGUUAGACUUGAAUUAUAACAGUAUGAAAUAUUCAGUUGAUACUAUUAACAGUAAAGGUGUGUCUGAUAUACCCAAAUUUUCCAUGGAAAAUGGAAAACCAAUUCCAAUUCCAUGUUUUUGCUUGUUUGAUGGCUCUAUUUUUCCAUGGAAUUCAUUUUUUAGCUUUUCAUACCACCUAUGAUUUUUCUUGCUUUUCAACAGUCACUGUAACACUCCUUUUUUUUCCCCCCGAAUUUUUUUUCCUUUUCUUUUCAUUUUUUUUUGCGAUGGAAACAAAUUUUAAGAAUUAUUGUAAAAAAAUAUUUCCCUUUAACUGACAAUUUUCAUGUUAAACAAAGCCAAACAAAUAUCAAAAGAUAGAUGAUUUUUUAAAAAUUUUUUUUUGGUUGACAAUGAAAACAAAUUUCAUCCCCAAUUCCAGUAAAUUCUAUCCCUUUAAUAGACAAUUUUCAUAUAACACAAAGCCAAACGAACACCAAAAAAUACUUAUUUCAACAUUUUUUACGUAGAAAAUUAUACCAAUUAAAUACAAUAAUUUACAAUUAUAAGAAAAACAAAAAUUAGGAAUUCAGAUAAAGCUACCUUCUAAAUUAAAAGGUUUAAAACCCCAUUGACACAUAAGUGUUGGAGAAGAUAUAGAAACAGCAAACACUAUGUGGCUUGACAUUCAUGAAAAUGACUUGGUGGAAGAAAAUUAGUUUUGCUGAAAGAAUUUAGACAUAAUUGGUAUCUAACUAGCACAUAGUAUUAAUCUUCCCAUUACCUGCAACAGCUGCACAAGGUUAAGGAGAUAAGGGCUUAAACCAACCAUGGUCAUAGCUAGAAAUUAAAGUAUCAUAGCAGUUAAAAGCAGAAGGAAAAAACUUCAGUGAAAUACAAACACUACUUUUGUGAGAAUGUUUGAAAAUACAAUCACAAACAGAGAGCACAUGAAAGACAUCAUUAGGAGGGCAUUGGCAUGUCGCGCAAUUGCUUAUCUCCUUUCGCAUUUCAGGGACAAUUAACACACGUCCAGAUUCUCAUAAUUCAUUAUUAAAGCUUCAUCUACUUUACAUUAUUUCAUAAGUAAUUUGUCCUUGACGCCUUAUUUCCUAGGUGUUUAACUUUAAUAACUUAUCAAAUGAGUUGAUAGACCUCCAAUUAGAUUCACUUAUGCAAGGAAAAAGAAAGGGAAAGAGACAACCAACAGUACGGCAGCAUAGCUGGAGAUUAAGUACAAUUUUAGUUUGCAGGGGUAUAUUAAAAAAAAAAAAAAAAAAAGGUUGAACCCCAACCUUAGGGGCCCCCACCGACCCUGCCCUGGGUCAUCGUGGAGGAGGUAAAUCGCAGGAUGUGCCUCCCAGGAGCCAGGGUGGAGAGCACAUGGAUAUGCCAAGGCUGUUAACCCAUAUGGUAACUCCCGCUUGCAACAAAGUCAAUUCCACCUUGCGGGGAAUCGAACUCUGCACACUGCCGCGCUGAGCCCUAUCCGCCCUCCCCUUUGCCACUGGGAGAUAUGCCCUGGGGGCGUUGCAGGGGUAUAUUAAAGAAUAGAGUGAGAGGUGAUAUUACAAUAAAAUGUGAGAAAGGGGUGUGGAAAACCGGAUCAUAUCAUAGAAGAAGGAAAGAUUAGACUGGAUUAAUUUAAAUUAUUUCCUUACCAUGAUUAGUGUUGUAUAGUAUAUUAGUUGAUUUUUUCCUUAUUAGAAGUUUCCUUUUCCAUAGCCACCUUUAUAGUAUAAAUUGUAACUAGUGACUCUAUAAUUAUCAGAAAAUAAAAACAUUCAGUUUUUCUUCAUGAUAUCAGAGCUAGGUUAGAAAACCUAACCAAGCUAUGACUGAGACAGCCACAAACAAUGGAGGGUCCAUGACCUCAGAAUCAGAAUCAGAGGUCACGUCUGUCAUGAGUACCAGAGUUAUUGAGAAUUCAUCCUUCCAACUAACGAUAGAAAAAUUGAAUGGGAAGAACUACCAAGAAUGGGCACAAUCAAUAAAAUUAAUAGUCAAUGGAAAAGGAAAACUCGGUUACCUAACCAGAGAGACCAAGAUGCCGGCCUCAACCAACGCUGCUCUUCAUCAAAAAUGGAAGUCGGAGAACUCGAUGGUGACUGCUUGGCUUGUCAAUUCCAUGAAGCCCUCGAUCGGAAGAACUUAUCUUUUCCUUCCAACAACAAAGAUGUCUGGGAGGCAGUGAAAGAAACGUAUUCAGAUGUAGAAAACACCUCCAAAAUUUUUGAAAUCAAAUCAAAAUUGUGGCAAACGAAGCAUAUGAGUUACAGCAUCCCAAUGUGAAGUUCUAGGUGAUGACAUAAAUUGACUAACAACACUUAUAGGAAAUGCAAUAUCUGGCCGAGUAAUUGUGAGACAGUUCAACUUUCCCACUACCCUCCUAUACUUGUCUGCAUCAACAAACACAUCUCCAUCUUCUGUUCCAAGUUUUACAUUUGGUAUCAUAGGGGCAUCACCAGGUUUUGCUUCAAUUAAACCUGUCUCAUCCAGCAAGUCUAGAACAUAUUUCCUUUGAGAUAGAAAGAUUUCUUUACCACUUCGAGAGAUCUCUAUCCCUAAGAAAUAUUUCAAAGGAUUUUGUCCUUUUAGGGCUGGGCAAAUCUCUCGAACCGAAGCGAACCGAACCUAAUGGUUCUUGUCAAAUUUAAUACCCGAACGGGUAUCUAAAUUGAGAAUCGACAAGCACGGUAUGGUUCGGUUCCCGAUUCUAGACCAAGAAUCGAAAAAUCGAAUAAAAAUCGAAUCUUUCUAAUUUUUUUAUAUUGAAUGAAUCAAAUUAUUUUAAUUUUAAUUUUUCUAAACAAAUUAACAAAUUAACAAUUUCUAAAUCCAAAUUUUUGGCCCAAUUACCCACUUUAUUGUUUCAUUUCUUAGACCAACAAGAUCCAAUCCACUAAAUAACACUAAACACCUACACUAAAGUGCAUAACGCUAUCUAAAUUCUUACACUCACUCUCGCAGUCUCGUUGACAUUCCAAAACCUAUACAAUCAUCGGUCGACACCGUAACCUUCGAUCGAAGCUGUGUCCUCCGUCAACCGAAACUUUGACCGUAGUGAUCAUUUGAAAAAGGUAGUCUACUAGUCUCUGACAUUCCAAAACCAUUGAAUAUGUCAUUAGUUGUAUUUAUAUAAUGUUGUUAUAAUUGUUAAAAAAUUUAAUUAUAGUACAGAACCGAAUUGAACGAAACUGAACCCGAAUGGUUCCAUAAUUAUAUUUGGACCUGAUGGUUCCAUUUACUAAAUACCCCAAAGUUUUGGUUCGAUUCGGUUCUCUUUAGAACCGAAUCGAACCGACAUGCGCCCAUCUCUAGUUCCUUUGUCUGAAACCUUGUGCCUAGAAAAGCCUUCAACGUACUUAUGCUACUGCUAUCACUACCAGUAAUCACAAUAUCAUCAACAUAUACCACUAACAAGAUACAUCCAACUGUAGACUGUUUAAUGAAUACUGCGUGAUCAUAUGCACUUCUUUUCAAGCCAAAUUCAGUCACAACCUCACUAAAUCUCCUAAACCAGGUACUAUAAUGACUUUUGUAGUUUACAUACCUUCCCUAACUCCCCCUGAGCAACAAACCCUGGUGGUUGCUCCAUGUAAACUUUCUCGUGCAAAUCACCAUGGAGAAAAGCAUUUUUGACAUCCAAUUGAUGAAGCGACCAAUGAUAGGUAGACGCAAGAGAAAUGAACAACCGAACAUAAGCGAGUUUAGGAAUAGGAGAGAAAGUCUCGGAGUAAUCCACACCAUAAGUUUGAGCAUAUCCCUUAGCAACCAAACGAGCCUUCAAUUGAGCAACGGAUUCAUCGGGAUUCAUCUUGACUGUAAACACCCAUUUACACCCGAUUGUCUAUUUAUGAGGGGUAAAGGAACCAAUUCCCAUGUGUGAUUGUGUUCCAAUGCCAGCAUUUCUUCUUGCAUGGCCGCUCGCCAACCACUAUGGGACAAAGCCUCAGAGAUAGAUUUGGUACAGACACAUGAUCUAAAGAAGCAAUGAAGGACCUAGAAGAUGGGGACAAUGCAUGGUAAGAAACAAAAGAAGAGACAGGAUAAGUACAUGACCGUUUACCCUUUUGAAUGGCAAUAGAAAGAUCACGAGUAGGAUCAUGAGAAGGCGACAAAUCCUGAGGCGAAGUAACAGGUAGAGGUGGCAAGUCAUGGUCAGUAAUGGAUGCCACCGGGGAUUGCUGCACAUGACGAGUAUAAACACUUCGAAUAGGAGGGCGAGAAGAUACUGGUGACACGGGAGUAGUCACGGUGUAAAUAAGGAAAUUGUCAUCAGACUCAACAGAAGAUGGAUUAGAGGACACGGUAUUACUUGAAAAUAGUGUGGACUCGAAAAAUGUGACAUCAGUAGAUACUAAGUAUCGUCCUAAUGAAGGCGAAAAACAUCGAUAACCUUUUUGAUGUUGAGAGUAACCCAAAAAUAUACGCUUAAAGGGAUCUAGGGUCAAGUUUGAAAAUUUGAGGUCUCAUAUCUUGAAUAAAGCAAGCACACCCAAAUAUUCUAGGAGCAAGAGAAAAUAGAGUCUUGGAGGAAAAUAGAAUGGAAUAAGGGAUCUUGUUCUCUAAAACAGAGGAGGGCAUACGGUUGAUAAACUUUCAUGUGAAAAAAGAGAGCUCGUGCAACUUCCAAUAAAUGACGAUUUUUUCUUUCUGCCAUUCCAUUUUGCUGUGGAGUAACAACACAAGAAGAUUGAUGAAAAACACCAUUUUGUGAAAGAAAUGAAGUAAAGGCAGAUGAGAAAUAUUCCUUGGCAUUAUCACUCCUUAAGAUACGUAUAGAUUUGUUAAAUUGAGUUUUGAUUUCAGCAUAAAAUGUACAAAAAAUUGAAAAUAGUUUAGAACGAUUUUUCAUAAGAUAUAACCAAGUAACACGAGAAUGAUCAUCCACGAAAGUAACAAAAUAGCAAAAACCAGACUUAGAUAAAAUAGGACAAGGACCCUAAAUAUUUGAAUGUAUUAGAUCAAAAGGGGCGCAGCCUGUUUAUUCAUUCUAGGAGAGUAUGACACUCUAUGAUGUUUUGCUAAUUGACACGACUCACAAUUUAAUUGAGACUCUUAACUAAGACUAGAACAUAACUGCUUCAGAACAGGGAGAGAAGGAUGACCGAAGCGACAAUAGAGUUGUAGAAGAAAAAAAGUACUCGUGCAUGCAAUCGACCCUAGCACCUGUGUGGGAGAAGAAUCUAGCACAUAUAAGCCAUUGAGCUCACGCCCUCUACCAAUAAUCUGCUUCGUCCCAAGAUCUUGGAAAAAGCAAUGAUCAGGAAAAAAAGAACACUACAAUUAAGAGAUUUAGUAAUUUGACUCACAUAUAAAAGUUUGAAAGGAAACUGAUGUAAACAUAAAACAGAUGACAAUGGUAGUGAGUUUGUUGGAUGUGCAGUCCCACAUCCAACAACAGACGUUUGUAGAGCC
rnacentral:lncRNA from 1 species